GCUAUGGUAUGCAAGCGGUUAACGCACUUAGGUUUUCACCCUAAGCUCUUCGGAGUUCGCGAGUUCGAAUCUCGUCCAUAGUAC
rnacentral:tRNA from 1 species